UUAGCGGGGAAGGGGUCGGGGGAGUUCUCUCUGCUACUUCCCACUGGGUAGGGUUGUAGGAUUCUUUUGGGGGCAACACCAACAUCAGUUGUCCAGAAAUCCAGAAGUCCUGAUAACCAGCAAAUCAGCAAGCAGCAAUGUAGCAGCAGGGCCAGCCAGCAGCAUGCAGUCCUCCUCCAAGCAGCCGCCCGCCUUUUCUUCCUCCGGGCUGUCAUGUUUCUACCCCUCAAAGUCCUCAGAAUUCAACUAACACCACUCGGCAAAUACCACGCUCCGCACGAGACACCUAACAGCAACGUGAUGACAUUAAGAAGCACUUCCUGUUUAUCUGGACCCACACAAGAGCACCUCUAAUUUCAGCACUGGGGAGACAGAGAAAGGAGGCUUCCUGGGGCUGGCUGGCCAACGCACCCGCUGAAUAGCCCGAAGUACUGCAGCGUCUGCAGGACAUGGAGGGCAGCCAGGCGAGCACGGCAGGAAGGCGGACUUCCGGAGUCCUGCUCUCACCCUUUGAACAAUGUCGUUCUGGCUGGCCCACACCUGGCCCACACGUGCCUGAGCAUUCUAGCACAUGCGAGGCUGAAGCCAGCGCACAUGAAGCCUUUCAAAUGCUGUUCCUGGAUGAGAGAAUCGUCUGUUUUUUCCUUUCUGUACAGAACUGUUGGGCCCAAUUCUUCACCGUUGGAGAGGAGGAAUAAAGCCAGGACUGAUAGCAUGCAUUUUAUUUAUGCACAUUUUCGUGCAUUUGCCCUUGCUGCUUGGUUCUGCUCUGUGACGGUGGUGUCACUGCUGUCCUACACCAUAAUUUGCUGGCGCACUUUGCUGCUCCUUCAUCGUACAAGAAACUGUAAGGGUCAGUGAUCUCCGGCACCACCACUUCCAUUUCCUCAUUACAAAAAUUGACCUUCUUUCUGUUGUUUGAAAGGGCUCAGGCCACUGUCAUUCAGAUUUCAGGACUGUUGAACAGUAAUAACAGUAUAGGCGGACCAAGCAAGCACGCCGUAGCCUGGCAUUGUGCUUCCUCCUGGAAUCCAUUUUGGAUUUCUUAGUCCAGACAGCAGGCGCUGUUAUAGCCCAGGCCCAGCAUUAUACUGUAUAGUAAUUUCCUCCUUGUCAUUAAAUCAUUUAGCUGCAUUAAAGCAUUGUGUGCUGCUCUGUGAAUAUUUGCCAAGGUCCUUGUGCUUUCUAGGCAAUUUUAUGUUCAUAAGGCACAUCAUUCAACUCAGUAUGUGCAGCUAACGCUACACACACACACACACACACACACAAAUAGAGCAGGUAGGUAGGAGUGCCUGUUAGACCGCUGGUUGCCUCCUCAUUGUCUGUGACUGAGCAUGAGCCGCAGAACCAGUUCAGAUGUGAAGAAGUAAAAGCACUCUCGGAAUAAAACUCUGAAUGCUGCGGCUUUCCCGGGAGAGGGGUGGGUGAAUCUGUCUUCUCACUUCACAGGAACUAGAUUCGGCACCAGGGUUAGGAUUUACAUAAAAAUGAUGCCAUGCACACAAUUACAGGAAAGAUAUUUAUUGGAUGGAGGUGGAGAGAGAGAGGGAGGAGAGAGAGACAUGGUACCGGCCCCCAGGAAAGAACGCUAGGCAGAGAGAACAAGAGAGGAGAAAGUGAAGUAAGAGGCGGGGGCCCUUUUAUCCAGGCCAAUGAUGACAUCGCAGGUGGCCAAGCUAUCUAGGAGUGGGUAGUGCUGUGAUUGUGAACUAAUGACACAGUUAACAGACUCUGUGCGUCUGGCUGUUCCUGGGGAAAAAUUAUUAGUUGGAAGGAGAAUAUUUGAAUAUAAAAUAUCACUAUUAUACAUUAAAAAUAGCUUCCACAUCUGAGGCAAAUUUUUCUCUCUGUACUACCAAUACAUUUUAUAAUAAAAUUUAGAAUUAUAACCUAAGAUGUAUCUAUUCUCCUUGAUUAAAAGAACAUAAUUCAUUAACUCUUUAUUUUAAAAGAAGUAAUAUUUUUUAUCCCACCAGAUAAAUGCCAGAAGUAUGUGAUUAAUGGUGUCCUUUGUAAAAUAUAUGUGUUUCUUAAGUGUCAAAAUCAGGGCUCACAAGCUCCUGUGAGCUUGGCUUUCAUUUCUUUAAGAGCUAUUUGUUGCUGUUACUACCAUAGUAGGAACAGAGGGGCAGGAAACAGGCUUUCUGGUUUAAAGAAUUUGUAAAUGAUGUUGUAUCUUACCAUAUUUUCCUUAAAGUCUCAUUUUUUAUAAUUUAUUUUGUGAUAAUAUGUAAUUACGGGAUUCAAUUUAGAAUAAUUGUCUCUGUCAUAGAAAACUGUAUGUUCCAAAAGCU